CCUACGGGAGGCAGCGGUGGGGAAUAUUGGGCAAUGGGCGAAAGCCUGACCCAGCGACGCCGCGUGAGGGAAGAAGGUCUUCGGAUUGUAAACCUUAGUUGGCAGGGAAGAAGAAAGUGACGGUACCUGCAGAGAAAGCCACGGCUAACUACGUGCCAGCAGCCGCGGUAAU
rnacentral:rRNA from 1 species